rfam:Legionella israelensis strain Bercovier 4 Lisr_ctg151, whole genome shotgun sequence.
CUAGACCCGAUGACAAGUGAUUUAUGAACCAACACUCAUAAACAGGGGAGCAUCCUGUAGUCGGCGUUGAGCAAGCCCACCUUGAAGUGGGAAGCCUGAACCGGCACAUCCGCCCCCCACUUGAACUGCAAGGUUCAAAGUCUGAAGUCGUCGGGUUGUUU